CGGCGUGACGCAGAGGAGAGAUCUUCAGGAGUCAGGACUUGCGGCUGAUGGGAACACAGCGCCCAGGCAGCCAGGUGAGAUUGCAUGGGGACCACUUGCGCAGGUAGUGCAGGGUGUGGGGGCUGGGGUGGGGGGUGUCUCCCAGUUAGAGUUGAGUAAGGGCUUGGGGCAAAUGUUGGGGGGUUUGGCAGGGUUGGUUGCUAGUUGGGGGUUGAGUGGGGGGACGCCGUUACAGGCCUGGGGCGAAGGUGGAGGAGGAUUCUGUUCGGG